AGUGGAGGGGGCGCGCGUCGCGCUCAGCAGCAGAGCUUCACUUUGAAUCAGUCCUUUCCACUCUCCUCUCUCUCCUCUCCGCUCAUUUGAAGCUGGCGCAGGACGAUGCUGCUAGGCGCCUUUCACCGCACAAAAUGAAUCCCCUUAUGCUUGGAAAUAAGCAACCAAUGCGUGGACGAUGAAAAAGAAAGUUAAAUGGCUUCGAGGAAGGAUGUAGAUUGCAGCUUCUGCAAAUAUGUAAUCGCGCGCAGGGGCGUCGAGUCGAGGACGGCAGCGGGGAGUCUGUGCUUCACUGACCGGCGGAUCAUGAUCCAGAGCAGAAUAAAUUCAACAAUUCAUUUCACCGGCAUUUAUGGAUGUUUUUGCUCAUGCUUCCAUUAUCUCUUUAUUUGGCUCUUCCACCCACCACUACUACCCUCAGCAUCUACUGCACCUCAGUGACAGUUUUCUUCAUUGUCAUUAAGAUUAUUACCUAUUAUUAUCACCUCCAUCUGAUGUUUGAUCAGGGCGACAUUAUAGCCCAGAAUAGUGUGGCUGACAUUAGCAAAUGUGUAGACAAGAAAAGCAAUGCAUCUAAUUCCUGUCUUCCAUUGGAAGAGCAGCACAGUUCCUGACAGUGUUGCCAUAUCUGUAUUGACCCAAAACAGGCCAAGUUCAGUAAUAAAAGUGCUAAAAGUAAUAAAACAGCCUGAAACAGACCCUGGACUGAUUGGAUUGCAUGCAUGCUGAGUGUGAUAUCCUGCCAGGACCUAUCAAAAAGAGCUGUCAGACAUCUUUGUCAGACUGCCCAAGCACAGAAUUACACUUACAUUGUCAGAGUGAUGAAAGAUCUAGGCCAGAGGCGGAGGAGCGACUCACCCCUGAGGAUGUGUUCAGUCCCAACACUGACGAGUCUGCCCCACUCCUGCAGGGAGAGCAGAUUCCUUCAGCCCACAGGGAUAAUGCUGAGGAUGAUCAACCACCUUCCCCUGUGAAUGAAGAAGACAGUGUAGAGGAAAAGACAAACCCCCAACAACAAUAAUACCUCUCUACAAAUCACACGAGAUGCCAACGAUGGAGAAUUGCCUGAGGAGAAUUAUUGCUCAGAUGAAAUUGCUGUGGUGCUUGUUGACAACUCGAGUCCCUCGGCCCACCUGGACAAGAGUGAUACGGUUAAGAUCCUUAUCACAAUGAGCUGUGACCCACAGACGGCAGCUGAAAACUGAAUGAGUCCGUCAAACAGCGCAUCUUAGAGUCAGCUCAGUCCAACCAGGGAGAAUACUGUCCUGUUAAAAUUCCUGUCAUCACCUUCGAUUUGCCUCACGAAGUGGAGGAACCCUCUGCAGGUGAUGAAAAAGAAGAUACACCUUUUGCAGGAGAGAGCUCUGUUCAGGACAAGUCCGAACAUCUGACAUUGCUCAGGAAUACAAAGAAUUUGGGAUCAAUGAACUUGAGAUGCCCAAUCUGAGCCCCCAAGUGAGCAAUAACAUUGCUAAGGGACUCGGUAUCGUUAAUAGAUGAGAUGCUAUCCUCAUUAGCCAUAGAGCUAAAGAUAAGCUCAGUACAAUCUGCCAUGUUUUACGAGGCCAUAAGCAACUAUUGAUACCAGUCUAGUGAUAUGUCACACGAGCGACCCCGCCUGGAGAAGAGCAGUACUGUCCAGUCGAGACACCCUGCUCACGCUCAGACACAUGAUGGAUGAUUACGAGAUCAUCAUGCUGUACAAACGACAUCUCAGCUUCAAAGUAAUAAAGGCAAGAGAGAAAAACUAUUUUAUAUAUCUAAAACUAUAUAUUAUUAGAUACAUAUAAAACACCAAGAGAGUAACGUUUGGAGUAACAUUUUAUUAAUUCAUAAGUUUAUUCAGAAAGUACACGUAUCUAAAGUGGCAAUAAAGGCAUUUAUAAUGUAUACAACAGAAGCAAAACUCUUUUUUGCAUUCAGAUAAAUACAGAAUGUGUGUGAGGGCUGUGGGCUGAUCAGCAGCAGGAGCUCAUCUUCCUCUGGAACCGUAAUCCUGAGCCUGGAAGCAUCCAGAACUCAAAGCAUGCUCUGUGAAACAUGAUCAACUCUUCCUGCGACCAGCCCCUGGGUUACCCCAUGUUUGUGGCCCCACUCACCACCUCCUAUAAUUAAUUCACACAAAAAUGAAAAUUUGCAGAAAAUGUACCUACCCUCAGGCCAUCUAAGAUGUAGAUGGGUUUGUUUCAUCAGGCCAUCUAAGAUGUAGAUGGGUUUGUUUCUUCAUCUGAAUAGAUUUAGUGAAUAGAUUUUUUAGAUUAGAAUUUAACCCAUCCAAAGUGCACACACACACACCAUGAACACACACCCGGAGCAGUGGGCAGCCAUUUAUUCUGCGGCACCCAGGGAGCAGUUGGGGGUUCGGUGCAUUGCUCAAGGGCACCUCAGUCACGGUAUUACCGGCCUGAGACUCAAACCCACAACCUUAGGGUUAGGAGUCAAACUCUCACCCCAUUAGGCCAUGACUUCCCCACUACAUAUUUAGAGAAAUUUAGCAUUAUAUCACUUAUCUACUGUACCAAUGAAUCCUCUGCAGUGAAUGGGUGCCAUGAGAAUGAGAUUCCAAACAGCUGAUAAAUGCCUAGUUAUAACUCACAAGUAAUCCACAUCCAAUCCAAUCCAUCAGUUAACUUCUUAAAGUGAAAAGCUGUGUUUUUUUUAGAAACAAAUCCACCAAGGCGUUUUUAAACUUACAAAUGUUGCUUCCAGCCAAAGUAUGAGUACUCUAUCCGUUAAGCUUUUUUCAGUCAUAAAAAUCGGUCUAGCCUGAAUCAGAAGAGAAAUAUGCAGAAAUCAAGCUAAAACAGUUUUAAAAAGUUCUAAACAAGUCUGUUGGUGGAUUUUGAUGUGAGCGGACAACGGGGAGGAAGUAUUACUAUGGAUUAUGGACUCAUAUUUUGGCCAAAAGCGAUGGUUUAAAGUUCAAAUGCCUUGAUGAUGGAUUUAUUAAAAACACAAAGCUCACAAGACAUUAACUGAUGGACUGGAGUUGUGUGGAUUACUUGUGAAUUAUUGUGAUGUUUUAAUUAGCUGUUUGAACAUUUUUGGGUUAACUAUUCCUUUAACAGGCCUUCUCUGUUUCUAGGGAGAGGAAAGAUAACUUUACCAGCUGUAACAGUGGCAUGAACAUGGAGGAUGUGGAUUGUGCUGGUUCCUCCUUAAGUCAGAAUCAUAACUCUGCCACAUCCCAGAGCCGAAGCCUUUUUCACGGCCGCCAAAGCAGCUCCCAGUCCAGACACCACGGAGUUCAGAACAUACUAUAUGAAUCUGUACAGUUUUACAGUCCUAAAGUCUGUAAGAAAAUUAACAUAUUAGUUAAUAUCAAAUGGUAUUUUCCCCACAGCUCACCGGGAGUAUCGCAGUCACCCAGUGCAACCUCAGGGCCAACGGCCCCCUGUCACCAGCUGAUCGAGUCCCAUCCUGGACAGCCAGCACGGCUCCAACAGCCAGCUGUCCUUCAACACCUCCUCCAUUGCCUCCGUCUUUUCCCAGGUGCCUCGUUUAUCCACAACAGGGCCUCUGGCUCCAGCCAGGCGUCUUCCUCCAGCUCCACACUGAGCCUGCUGUUGGCAAGCGGAGCUGCUCCAGCGGCUUGGUCAUCUCGGGCCUCUCUGCAGCUGAGAGGGGGAACACCAGAGAUACGCAGUCCUCAAGUUCUGACAACAUCGUCCUAGGCCCGUCCUGUCACUCGAGUCAUGCAAUGCAGCAGUGGACAUCAGAGGCGUAGGAGAGCAUAGAUGCUCCACCAUUGCCACAGAACCCAAGGGUCCACAGCUCUAAGCCCUCAAGUCAUGUACAUUACAGAUGUAUUUUUGAAAAACUAAAAAUCUGCCAUGAGUACAAAUGUAAGUAUAAGGGAAAAGACCCCCCCCCCCC